GAUGAACGCUGGCGGCGUGCCUAAUACAUGCAAGUAGAACGCUGAAGCUUGGUGCUUGCACCGAGCGGAUGAGUUGCGAACGGGUGAGUAACGCGUAGGUAACCUGCCUGGUAGCGGGGGAUAACUAUUGGAAACGAUAGCUAAUACCGCAUGACAACAGUUAUUGCAUGAUAACUGUUUAAAAGGGGCAAUUGCUCCACUACCAGAUGGACCUGCGUUGUAUUAGCUAGUUGGUGAGGUAACGGCUCACCAAGGCGACGAUACAUAGCCGACCUGAGAGGGUGAUCGGCCACACUGGGACUGGGACACGGCCCAGACUCCUACGGGAGGCAGCAGUAGGGAAUCUUCGGCAAUGGACGGAAGUCUGACCGAGCAACGCCGCGUGAGUGAAGAAGGUUUUCGGAUCGUAAAGCUCGGUUGUAAGAGAAGAACGAGUGUGAGAGUGGAAAGUUCACACUGUGACGGUAUCUUACCAGAAAGGGACGGCUAACUACGUG
rnacentral:rRNA from 1 species